UUUGCAUUAAAUUUCCACACAUUGUUUAUCUAAAUCAUUUGUAAAGUUAAAACAUAAAAAAACAUGGCUAAACUUUUCAACUUUGGUUAUGUUAUAGUUUUGUUUUUAUCUCUAUUCCUUAUUUCAGCUAAGGCUUUAUUUCCAUGUGAAACUAAUGAAGAUUGUGCAAACGUAUUUUUUACCGCUGGAAAGCUGGAUUACUUUGUUGAGUGCAUCGACAAAAAAUGUUUGUUGAUUAAGAUAUAAGGAAGAAUUAGUUUAGUUCUUGAAAUGUCAAAAAAUUAUAAAUAAUAAUAGACUUAAGUAGUCUUUUCAAAAAUUUUAUAUGUUCA